AAUUGAAACAAAUUUCGGCUUUUGACUUUGAAAUUUUCGUCAUCCAUUAUUUGGUUUAUAUUUUAUGAUCAUUUGCAGUUUUAUAGUAUCGAAUCUUUUUUUUUCUGCAUUACAAAGGUGUUCUGUUAAUUAAAGCGAUAUCUGAAUAAACGCCCCUUUUCGAGUCUACAAAUAUGUUCUGAUAGUACAUCCUACCAACACGUCAGUUACAGUACGUCACAACAUGUAGUGCAGUGGAUUUUCAAGCAGCAGAAUAGCUACACUAAAACUGAUUGAGACUUCGAGUUGGCAUUUUGUUUAAGUCAUCGGAGUCUAUAGAUGAAGAUGCAUUGCUCAACGACAUAUCUGACCUUCUAUCCCUAGGGACUCCAUAGCAUCAAAAAUAACCACUUGCCAAUUCACCAAUAGUGAUUCAGACAAGGGAUCUAGGAAGUGUGGGUUCUGUCAAGAUCUCAACAUCCAGCCUGUAAUCUAACGUGGAAUCCAGCGCCACUAGGAGUAAAGAAGAUGCCUAAGAGCAAGUCCAAGGCUGAAAGUCAGUCACUGCGAGAAGAACUUCAAGUGCCCCAUUGGAAGGUAUUUUGUUUCUUGAAACAAGCAUCGUGAUAUGCAUGUUUACCUCGUUUUGGCAAGACCUUUCCAGAGCUACAUUAUGAGAAGAAAUCAUUAAAGCAGGAAGGUCGCUCCACAACUCUUAUCAUCACCCAAGACCCAAAUGGCAACCUUUUACCACAAGCACCUGGAUAUCCACUCCAUGCACAACAGCUCCUCUACAAAAUGCAAGAAUGGAACUCUCAAUCAAGGUGAAAGAUCAGCUCUCUGGUGGAUGGAAGCCUCAGCAUUGUAAAACCACAAGGAACACUAUCUGCUGAAGCAAGGAACUGCUAACACAGUUGGAAGAGGAAGUGUGUCAUCUCCAAGAGGAUCUGGCAAGAACUUGGUCCUUGCAAGAUCCAGAGAUUUUCUGCCAGACCACCAAGGGGUCUUUGGAAAUCCACAGCUGUUUGGAAUUUGCUGUCAGUACUCUUAUAGAUAAGCAACUCCAGCUUCCCUGUAAAUUGUAUAUCAAGUUGUGGAAAUAUUUUAUUUAUAUAUUUAAUUUAUAAUGUACAUUUCCUUGUACUGAACUGGUAUUAAGUGUUUCAUUUAGUGGAUUCACAUAUAGGGAUAUUUUUCUGUGUAUUAGUUUUAAAAGGAUGUGUCAAUUUUUGGAGUUUGUUUUUUGUAAAACCAUUUUCUAAUAUAUGUAUGCAUUUUAAUUUACAUCUUUGUUUAUUGUUUUUACAUAUGAGACAGCAUGAAGCGCAUUUCCAGAUUAAUGUUUAUACAAUGUAUAUUGUUUGUUAAAAGUUUUUAUAUAUUAAUGUUUCAUUGUAAAAAGGUUUAUUAUUAUAUUAGUACGAGUUUCUUUGUUAAAAGGAUGUUUGUAAGUAUGAUUCCAAUGGACCAAGCCUGAGAAGCCAUAAUUACUAUAAUUUCAACUUACUUGUGUAACUUUAUGAAUUUUGGAAAGCUGUUAGUAAAUGUCAAAUCACGUUUGUACAAUCAAAAAUUAUUUUAACUAAAGAUUCACCUGUGAA